GACGAACGCUGGCGGCGUGCUUAACACAUGCAAGUCGAACGAAUAGCGACGGAAGCUUUCUUCUAUCAAUCUUAGUGGCGGACGGGUGAGUAACGCGUAAUCCACCUGCCCUUCAGAGGGGGACAACAGUUUGAAACGACUGCUAAUACCGCAUACGAUCUAAUCUCGGCAUCGUGGAUGUAUGAAAGGUGGCCUCUACAUUUAAGCUAGCACUUGAUGAGGGGUUUGCGUUUGAUUAUCUAGUUAGAGGGGUAUCGGCCGACCAAGGUGAAGAUCGUUAGCCGGCCCGAGAGGAAGAUCGGCCAGAUUGGGAGCUAGACAGGGCUCAAUGUACGAAAGGAGGCAGCCGUAGGGAAUCUUUCGGAAUGGACGAAAGGAUGACGGAGCAACGCCGGGUGAGUGAUGACGGGCGUCGGGUUGUAAAGCUCAGUUAUUCGGGGAGAAAGGCCUUCUUGCGAAUAGUGAGAAGGAUUGACGGUACCGGAAUAGAAAGCAACGGCUAACUACGUG
rnacentral:rRNA from 1 species